GACGAACGCUGGCGGCGUGCCUAAUACAUGCAAGUAGAACGCUGAAGGAGGAGCUUGCUUCUCUGGAUGAGUUGCGAACGGGUGAGUAACGCGUAGGUAACCUGCCUGGUAGCGGGGGAUAACUAUUGGAAACGAUAGCUAAUACCGCAUAAUAGUAGAUGUCGCAUGACAUUUGCUUAAAAGGUGCAAUUGCAUCACUACCAGAUGGACCUGCGUUGUAUUAGCUAGUUGGUGAGGUAACGGCUCACCAAGGCAACGAUACAUAGCCGACCUGAGAGGGUGAUCGGCCACACUGGGACUGAGACACGGCCCAGACUCCUACGGGAGGCAGCAGUAGGGAAUCUUCGGCAAUGGACGGAAGUCUGAACGAGCAACGCCGCGUGAGUGAAGAAGGUUUUCGGAUCGUAAAGCUCUGUUGUAAGAGAAGAACGAGUGUGAGAGUGGAAAGUUCACACUGUGACGGUAUCUUACCAGAAAGGGACGGCUAACUACGUG
rnacentral:rRNA from 1 species